rnacentral:lncRNA from 1 species
GUUCAGAGGCUGGAGCAGAGUACAAUAAUAUGUACUAUGAAAAAGCUUAGCAGGAUCUUCAAGGAAUUAUGAGAGGACCCCAGAAUAUGAGGAAGAACAGACGGAAGAGGAGACCAUGGGGAAGCUUGGGAGAGGGAGAGGCACCUUGAAGAGCCAAUGGAAUCAGAAAAGCAAGGCUUGCUUUCGCAGUUAAGAACCACACAACCAGACAGCUGCAGCACAGACCUGAGCCUGACUUGUCACCUUGCCACAAGGAACAAGUAUCAGAGUGAUAUUCUACAGAUGUGGCUAAGUGCUCCAACCUGGACUGGAGAUAGUCCUCCUGGCUGUGCCGCAUCCCAAACAGGAAAACAAAGGCAGCUGACAGAUGGCUUUUUCCAGCUUUAGCUACAGAGAGAAGCAAGCUCACAGCUUACACUAGCUGGCUGUCCUUGUCCUCCACAGAACUGGAGCAAAUGCCCUUGACCUCAGCCCCACAGAUCCCGCCAGUGUUUCAGCGAAGAGAUGGGGCUCUGACUGUGCCCUUGUUCACCCUGUGAUGCCUCCCUACCCAGAACAGAAAAACCCCAGCUGUGCAAAUACUGAUCCACCCACCAACAGAGAAGAGAAAAAUUGUGGAUCCCAUGAAACUCUGAGCAUCUCGACUUUGCGGUGACAUCAUAAGAUCUUUUUUUUUUUUUUAAUAAUUUUUUUUAUUUAUUUUUUUAGAUUUAUUUAUUAUUAUAUGUAAGUAUACUGUAGCUGUCUUCAGACACACCAGAAGAGGGAGUCAGAUCUUGUUACGGAUGGUUGUGAGCCACCAUGUGGUUGCUGGGAUUUGAACUCUGGACCUUCGGAAGAGCAGUCGGGUGCUCUUACCCACUGAGCCAUCUCACCAGCCCUCAUAAGAUCUUUAGGGCCACUCUAAAAUAGCAGUUCUCAAAUGGUAGGUUGUGACCCCCUUUGGUGGGAUCAAACAACCCCUUCACCGGGGUCUCCUAAGA